AGCAUCAUCUGAAAACGGGUAUAAACUGAUGUCUCUGUCCCCCCCACAAACACCUUUUAGAAGGUCUCUUUCAGUGCCCCAGUCCCAGACACCCUCGGUCCCAGCUGUUAGGAAGGAGCUGGGAGCUGCAGGCUGCCUACCAGAGUACAACAGGGAAGUGCUCUGUAAGUUGACUGCAAUCCGUAAAAAGCUGCUCAGAGAGCAGAAACGGGUGAAGGGCCAGAUGAUGCGCUCAGAGUGAGAGGAGCUGGACUCACUUGACAGGAUGGAGGCUUCCGGGGAGCCUAUCAGACUUCCAGAUGACUACAUCCUGUCAAGGUGUGGUCGAAGAGGGUGGACCCAAAGAACAUGGGGAAAUACUGACACACAAACAUGAAGACAAGAACGUGACAAGGACUGUCAAAGGGAGCAA